GGCGGACGGGUGAGGAACGCUUGGGAAUCUGCCUAUCAGCGGGGGACAACCCGGGGAAACCCGGGCUAAUACCGCAUACGCUCUACGGAGGAAAGCCGGGGACCGCAAGGCCUGGCACUGAUAGAUGAGCCCAAGUCGGAUUAGCUAGUUGGCGGGGUAACGGCCCACCAAGGCGACGAUCCGUAGCUGGUCUGAGAGGACGAUCAGCCACACCGGAACUGAGACACGGUCCGGACUCCUACGGGAGGCAGCAGUGGGGAAUAUUGGACAAUGGGCGAAAGCCUGAUCCAGCGACGCCGCGUGGGUGAAGAAGGCCUGCGGGUUGUAAAGCCCUUUCGGUAGGGACGAAAGCUCUCGACCUAACACGUCGGGAGGUUGACUUAACCUACAAAAGAAGCACCGGCUAACUCUGUGCCAGCAGCCGCGGUAAUACAGAGGGUGCGAGCGUUAAUCGGAAUUACUGGGCGUAAAGCGCACGUAGGCGGCUUGGUAUGUCGGUUGUGAAAUCCCCGGGCUCAACCUG
rnacentral:rRNA from 1 species